CCUACGGGGGGCAGCAGUGGGGAAUAUUGGGCAAUGGGCGCAAGCCUGACCCAGCAACGCCGCGUGAAGGAAGAAGGCUUUCGGGUUGUAAACUUCUUUUCUCAGGGACGAAGCAAGUGACGGUACCUGAGGAAUAAGCCACGGCUAACUACGUGCCAGCAGCCGCGGUAAUACGUAGGUGGCAAGCGUUAUCCGGAUUUACUGGGUGUAAAGGGCGUGUAGGCGGGAAUGCAAGUCAGAUGUGAAAACUAUGGGCUCAACCCAUGGCCUGCAUUUGAAACUGUAUUUCUUGAGUGCUGGAGAGGCAGUCGGAAUUCCGUGUGUAGCGGUGAAAUGCGUAGAUAUAAGGAGGAACACCAGUGGCGAAGGCGGAUUGCUGGACAGCAACUGACGCUGAGGCGCGAAAGCGUGGGGAGCAAACAGGAUUAGAUACCCGAGUAGUC
rnacentral:rRNA from 1 species